GAAUGCCCGGAUAGCUCAGUCGGUAGAGCAUUGGACUUUUAAUCCAAGGGUCCAGGGUUCAAGUCCCUGUUCGGGCGGCAAUCU
rnacentral:tRNA from 1 species